rnacentral:ncRNA from 1 species
GAUUUAUAGCGCCAGAACCGCCUUCGUGCGGUUGACGAGGAGCAGAGUGAUCGAAGUCUUCGGCGGAUGCUCUGCCGCAGAACCGGAUGCGUGAUACGGCUUACAAACCCGGACGGCAACGACCGGAACAGAAG